UUUUUUUUUCUUUUUUGCAUGAAGAGAUUACAAAGUUAACGACGCCUGCUUUUCUUUUCAGGCGAAAAGACGGCGGCUUUGUUGACAGAUAUGUAUUGAAUUUUACCUUCAGUCGACCUCCCGCCUCAUUUUUCGCACCUUUCCGAAAAGUUUUCUUUAACACGGGGCAAAAUAUUUACCAUUUUCAUUGAUUAAAAGAGAAGUUUCAGUGGUGAACUUCCAAGUGAUAGUGUCAGGUGUGUUGAUGUCGAAAAGAUAUGCACCCUAACUAGGGACCUUCGAUCUCCGUUGGUGAGUCCGUGGAUUCGCCUCCCCUCCGCUUGCCGCUCCGGCGGCCGGUGGCGGGGAGGGUAUUCCUGGUGCCUCGGCUUAGAUAGGUAUGGUUAUGGUUCCCUCAGGGGCGGCACUCGGACGGAUGGCGACGCUUCUUCUUCGAGUCAGUCUUCCGAGUUCCGAUCCUCCUCAAGUUCGUUCAUCGGGACUGUUUAGACGAAGCUCCGUCAUAGAUUCCUGCCAUCUCUUCGGAGCGGCGAGGUUAGGGUUUCUCGUCGUGCGUACGUAAUGGCGAGAUUUAAUGUCAGGUUCUUCAGAUCGAUUCAAGAAUUCAAUGGCGAUGACUACGGCUCCCGAACGUUGGUCCUUAGGGGCACGUGCACGAAGACUUCCCGGCUGUCAUCGACAAGGUCAGGCAGCUCCGAUAUGGGAGCAGCGACAGGGGUGCAUCGGCAGCUCGUUCUGGCGGCGGCAAUGGUCAUUUGGUUGUCCAUGAACCUCGAUGUUAUUUUUAUUAUGUUUGGGGUGCUUUGUACUCUUGGUGAAUCUUUAUUUAUAAUAGAUAUGAUAUUUUCGCAAAAAAACAAGCAUAGUGAAGGCCCACCUGGCUAACAAAGACGAAACAUGACAGGCCUUUUUAUUAACGGGAUUACAAAAGCGCAGGAAUAGGAAAUAAAAAAUAAAAAUGUGAUAGGAUUGCAUGGCUAAAACAGAUAAUUGUGAAAACACGGGAAUUUGUAGAAUUGUGUGGUCAAUUCGCAACAAUAGGAAAAAUAUGAGAAUCCUAGAAGACAAGUCAAAUAAUGAACAUAUAAGAAUAGGUUUGUCUGGCUCUGGAGAGGGAGGGGUGAUGACCGCGUUGUGCCUUCAGCUAGAUUCAGUGCUUAUAAUUAUAGCUAGGUGGUCCAUGAACCUGGUUAUAUUUUCUAUUACUUCUGGUGUUCGUUGUACUAUCAUGAUAGUUGAUGAAUUGAUUGCAAGUUUCUCUAAAAAAGUUAAUAUUAUACUUUAUUAUGGUAUCUGUCUUGUGCAAUGUGCACGUUUAAAAAAAUAGGUUUGAAUGCAUUGUAAAAUUCCUUUAUUCCUCCUAUGAAAUCCAAACCAAAGGGAAAGAUCCUUCUUCUUUUUUUUCUAUGGCUCCUUCCUUUGAAUCAAAUGGAUGUAUAAUGUUAUCAUAGAAAAAUUUCUUAUUCCUAUGUUCUUCCUCCAAUAUUCCUACAAAUCAAUGAGGCCCAACAUGGGUGUUGUGGUUGGACAACAGUCCAACAAUUCAACAAUGUACGGACAGCCACUAGUAUUUAGGAGGCUUUUCAGUGGCGUAAACCAAAGACACAACACCACUAGUAUAUUGUUUUUUCUGUUCUAGGGUCAUAUUUGGGUAUUUUUAGGGUUUUAGUGUUCUGGUAAAAACUUUUGCCCUUGAUUUUUUAUAUUUAAUAUACAUAAUUAAUAAUGCAAUGUAUUUUUUUUAGGAUCCAUAUGCCAUUUUGUGAUAUUAAUUUUUUUUCUAGGUAUAUAAUAGUUAGAAUUCAAACUUGAACUACAAGUACAUUAAAAAUACCCAAAAGUUGAUAGAAAGAUCAUAUUUAAGUUCUUUAUUAUUUAGUUAGGUACUCCCUCUGUAAAGAAAUAUAAGAGCGUUUUGGUACGCUCUUAUAUUUCUUUACGUAGGGAGUAAUAUGCAAGAAUGUUAGGAAAACUUAAUUAUCUGCGUGGGAAAAUGCAAACAACUAUACUUAGAACGUAGUGUUUUUUAUUUUAGAAGAAUGUUAAUGAAGUCUAUUUAAACUUGGCAUGGCGUGUUUGUAUGAGCUUUAUAGGUUGUGGUUAAAAUUCGAGAGAGAUAAACAAAAUUUGUGAUGUACGCUGCAUAGAAGUUUUUUUUUUUGAGAAUAGAGUAGGCAGCCUACUCAAUACGGAGCAGUACAUUCAGAGAGCAUUAGAUGACGAAGACUAUUCGGCACGUUCGCGAUCAACUCUUGCUCUCCCGAGCUCAUGGUUAGUGCAGCCAGUCCAUGAGCCAACUUGUUCAUGUUCCUCUUCACGCACUGAACACUAGAGGCUGAGAAGGCGGCCAAUGACUUUUUGAUGUCCAAGAUUAGACCAUAAUUGGGGGACCGUGUAGGCUGUGGUGCCAUCAGUUCAUUAGCAAUGGUUUGAUUGUCCGUCUCAAUGGUCACCUGGCCAUUAUACACCUCUGCUAUGGACUGCACUCCUAUCAGAAUGGCUCUGGCUUCGGCCUCCUCAACACUCCGACAUAGGGGUAGAAUCUUGCAGACUGAUUUGAGGACACAGCCCCUGUGAUCUCGGCCCACAGCGCCAGCUGCACUUUCUCCUGUCUCAUCUAAAUAGGCUGCAUCAGUGUUGAUUUUAACUGUACCAUGUACAGGCGGAGUCCACUUUUCAUCAGAAUUUCUAUUUGCAUGGAUGGGGCGUGCUGAAAUCUGGGCGUCAAUUGCUUGAGUGUUUCCUGCAUUCUUUGCAUCAUCCCAAUCAGUUGAUGCCACUGCCAUUCUUAACUCCUCCUCAUACUUUUUCAUAAACAACACUGAUCCGCUGAUUGUCUCUCUGCCAUUAUUUCGCAAGCAGUCCUCUCUGAGAUGCCAGCAUCGCCAGAGUAGCAUAAGGAUUUUGGUGCGCAUCUCCUCACUUUCUGUAUCCAGCACUACUUGCAGCCAGUUCUCACCUGUGAACCAGAAUUUAUGUUCAGCAGGUAAACUCCACACCUCUCUCAUAGCAGCUCUCAAGGCUCUACUCUUGGUACACAUGACCACCGCGUGAUAUUCAUUUUCUGUCCCAUGUCCGCAAAUGAUGUAGGUAGCAUCCAGCUCGAGGGUUCUUUCCACUUGUUCUCUUUUGUUGCUAGAGUAUUGGUAGCCACUCUCCAACCAAAGAUUCGAAUUUUUUCGGGCACCUUGGAUUUCCAUAUUAGGUCCCAUAUGCUACGGUCAUUUGGGCCCCUAGUCGAGCUUGAGGAGUUUUGAGCUAGUUGUGGCAAGCUUGUCGCUGCAAGUUUGUAGGCACUCCUCCCCGAGAACUCACCAUUUCUCUCAUAAUGCCACGCCACACAGUCUUCCACAUCCGAAGACGGAAUGUGGACUUUGCAAAUCUCAUCUGCAUCAAACGGAUGGAAAAUUUGCCUUAUUAACUCAUUCCACUCCUUCCUAUCGGUGUGCAUGAGUUGAUUAACCCAUCUAAUCCGAGAUCUCCGUAUGAAUGCAGCUGUCCUGAGUCCCUCCCGUCGUGGGAUCCAUUGGUCCCGUUUUAUUUGGAUUUUCUAGCCAUCCCCAACUCUCCAUAUAAUUCCUUUUUUCAGAAGCUGAAGAACAAACUCUAUUGCUCUCCAAACUGGGGAUGCAUCUGUUGCAAACACUAUAUCUAGGAGAUUUCCAUGGGGAAAAUAUUUGGACUUUAGGACUCUCGCACAUAGGCUGUUCGGUUUCUGGAUCAGUCGCCACCCUUGUUUAGCCAGAAGUGCUUGAUUAAAUAGGUGCAUAUCUCUGAAACCAAUGCCCCCUGCCCUUUUCGGUUUAGUCAUCUGUUCCCACGACAUCCAGUGUACGCUGCAUAGAAGUUGAUGCAUCUCCAAGGAAGAAUCAUAAUUUCAAAGGGAAAGUCCAAUAUUUGAAUGCAAAUCAUAGUAUCCUCUAUCAUUUGUAGUCUUGUAGAUGAAACAUUUUCUACAUUGUAGAUACGUUUCGAAGGUAAAGUCCAAUAUUCAUCCAAACUCGUAGUUUUCUUUAUCAUUUGGAGUUGAAACAUUUUGUACAUUCUAGAUACACCAUUUAUAGGUUCCAUGCUAAAAUUUGGUAUUUUAGGGUUCAUUUGCUAUUUUUAGGGCAUUUAGUUAAUCAAUUGGUAUUUAAUAGACAAUUCAAAUUUAAUCUAUAUGUACAUUAAAUUUGCCGAAAAAUUAUAGAAAGACCAUAUUUAAGCUCUUUAGUAUAUAAAUAGGUAUUAUGCAUGAAUAUUAGGAAAACUUACUCUUCUGUGUGGGAAAUUCAAACAAUUAUACUUUGAGGUUAGGGUUUUCAAAAAAAGUUAUUAAUGAAGUCUUAUUUUUUUGAAACUUGGCAUGGCGUAAUUGUUGGUAUGACCUUUAUAGGCUGUGGUGAUAAUUUGGCUUUUGUAGAUGUCCUGUGUUCGACUCCAUGACCCAUAUAUUUUUCCCAAAUUGCUACACACUAGUGGCGUGCCACCGAAAUGAAAUGCCACUAAAACUUAGCAAUGGCGUUCGGAGAUUCAUGCAUGCCACUAGUAUCUACAUGGCACCUGGCCCUUCAUCUUCAUUAUGGGCCCCACUCCACUUCCCUCCCUCUCACUACCUUGUCGAACCCCCUCCAUCUCUUAGCCUCUCACUUUCACUUUCGCGUUGUUCCCUCUCCCAAAAAAGCCCAAUCACCGACCGCUACUGCAACUCUGAGAACCGUCGUUGGGCACCCCUUCCUCGGACCCACGCGACGUGGCACCUCCGGAUAAUCGAUAUACCCCCACCAUGGUCGAAGCGGGGGCGGCCCACAUUCAGAGGCACUGACGCCUCUACCGCCUGUCGCUCACCAUGGGGUGAUGAUCCCCGAUCUCCACUGGGAGGCAAGGAACAAGCUCGAUGCCGGCGCCUCCUCGACCUCCAGCUAAUGUUCCACCCGCUACUUGCUCGUGUUGUCACACCUCCUUGCGUCGACUCUGAAGAGAUCACAAAGGCAAAAUCCAAAAUCGACGAGCUGACAACCAACUUGUGCGGGUGGGGUAUCAUCUAGUUAAAAUAUUAAUAUUCCAAACAAUCAAAUCUUGUUAAAUAUUGCAAAACAUUCCAACAACGUGUGGGGUAUCAUCUAGUUCCUAAAAAAAUAAUGGUCCUCUACCAUACUAAAAAGAAAUAGUCACUCAAAACACAACAAUCUCACGGCUAUGCUACUAGGUGGUCCUAUACAUUGUCUUCGAACACUCUUACCGUUCGUUUACAAAAGUAAAUCAGUAGCUUGCGCUCAUUCAAAGAAAAAAGCCACAUCAUUUUAAAAAAUUGACCGGUUUCUUAUUUCAUGAAUUAAAUAAAUGUUCAAGAAUUUAAAUUGGUCAUGUUUAAAAUAAAUGUUCAAAAAUUUAAAUUGUUUAUGAAUUUUAUCUAAUAUUCGCAUUUUAAAAAACAUUAUUUUUAAAAAUGUUUAUGAAUUUAAAAAAUGUUGAUGUACUAAUUAAUUUUUAAAAAAUCACAAUUUUGAUUUCUUUUGCGAAUUUAAUUUAAAAAGGCAAAAAUAAAAAUAUAUAAGGAAGAAAUAAAAACCAGCAAAGAAAACAGGAAUCUUGACGAGUUUAUCGGACGAUGAGGAACUAGACUAAAAUCUGCAUUAUGGAGUGUCUGUUGCUGAAAGCUGUUGCGGCGUGACAUGCGGUAUAAUAAUUGACCGCAACAAGCAGAACAGUAAUUUAAUCUUCUGGAACAUGGCCGGAUUUUCUCGGAGCUUGGGAGCACACCCUCCGCGUGACUCGUUGCAAAAGUUUGGCACCGCAAGCCAUAUUACAUCGUUGGGUUUCGUUUUCUUUACGUUAAAUCCAGUAAAUGAGAAUUGUACGUUUCAAAGUAAAAAUUCAUCACCAUCCAAUUUUUUUGCGAUGUGACAUGAUCACGGGAUCAUCAUGCUUUAUUCAUAGCAACCCAAUCUCAUAUAAAACAGCACACAGCAGUAUAAUGUAGCGGAUAUAUAUAUGACAAAAAGAAAGAAUGCCUAACAAGAUCAACCGAUCGACCAAACGCUGUGACAGAGACUCAUCGAACCACCACCGAUCUAGCCUAGCACUAACGAAUACGGUAUGUAUGGAAGCCGAUCACCCGGGGCGAAGCGCGGCCAUCAUCUCUACUGCAGGAGCGUCGCCGCGAGCAGGGACACCAGCGCGGAGGCGACCACGGCCACGGCGGAGACCGGGGCAAGGCUAGCGGCCGCUCCGGCGUCCGGCGCGGGCGCCGGCGCCGACGAAGGAGCCGAGGAAGGCGCCAUGACGCCCUGCGCCGACGCGGAGGCGAGGAAGACGGAGGCCACGGCCAUGGCCAGGAGCAGCACGGCGGCGCGGGGAGCCAUCACACUUUCUUUUCUUCGCGGAGAUGCUGGAGAGGAAAGUUGGAGGCUUGGCGGCGUCGAGGAGAUUGAUCUGCGAGGAGGUGGUGCGGUGGAUGCUAGGGAUGGAGGGGCUUAUAUAUAGGGCCGGCGGCGUGGCGGCGUGGGCCGUGGGUUUUGGUGUGCACGCAAACGCGGGCUUCUGGAGGCGGCACACGGCGCGACGCGUUUUGGUCGCG
rnacentral:lncRNA from 1 species